UACGGAGGUUGCAAGCGUUAUCCGGAAUGAUUGGGCGUAAAGCGUCCGCAGGUGGCAUCUCAAGUCUGCUGUCCAAGCCCCCAGCUUAAAUGGGAAGAGGCAGUGGAAACUGAGAAGCUAGAGAGCAAUAGGGGUAGAGGGUAUUCCCGGUGUAGCGGUGAAAUGCGUAGAGAUCGGGAAGAACACCAGUGGCGAAAGCGCUCUACUAGGUUGCAUCUGACACUGAGGGACGAAAGCUAGGGGAGCGAAUGGG
rnacentral:rRNA from 1 species